UCUCCGUAGGUGAACCUGCGGAGGGAUCAUUACAGAGUUCAUGCCCUACCGGGUAGAUCUCCCACCCUAUGUUAUUAUUACUUUGUUGCUUUGGCGGGCCGUUAGGCUCCGGCCCGACUACCGGCCCCGGCUGGUAGCGCCCGCCAGAGGACCCAAAACCCUGAAUAUUAGUGUCGUCUGAGUACUAUAUAAUAGUUAAAACUUUCAACAACAGAUCUCUUGGUUCUG
rnacentral:misc_RNA from 1 species